GGGGCGAAGAUAAGAUGGAUUAGCGGCGGACGGGUGAGUAACACGUGAGUAACCUGCCUUUUACACAGGGAUAGCCUCGGGAAACCGGGAUUAAAACCUGAUGAAACUAUCAAAUCACAUGAUUAAGAAAGUUAAAACUCCGGUGGUAAAAGAUGGACUCGCGUCCCAUUAGCUAGUAGGUGAAGGUAACGGCCCACCAAGGCAACGAUGGGUAGCCGGCCUGAGAGGGUGAACGGUCACAUUGGAACUGAGAAACGGUCCAAACUCCUACGGGAGGCAGCAGUGGGGAAUAUUGCACAAUGGGGGAAACCCUGAUGCAGCGACGCCGCGUGAGCGAAGAAGGCCUUCGGGUCGUAAAGCUCUUUUAUAUGGGAAGAUAAUGACGGU
rnacentral:rRNA from 1 species